ACGUCACUGCGGGAACCGGUGGACAGCAGGAGGCCCGUUCGGGUGCAGCCAGUGUGCUUGGAGUUCCGAGGGAGUCCCGCUGGGUCCGCAGAGACGCCCGGCUAUAGCUGCGGGGUGGCGUCGACUGGCUCCCCCACAGCCUGGCUCCCUGGCGGCCGACGAUGAGUUUGACCCCUUCGAGGGGAUGCCUCCUGGACCUGCCCUGGGAGGACAUCUUGGUCCCACAUAUUCUCUGUCAUCUGCCGCUGCAGCAGCUCCUGGGCCUGCAGAGGGUCAGCAAGGCGUUCCAGGCUCUUGUCCAGCUGUACCUGGCCAACAUGCGAUGCUUUGACUCCAGCCAGAUUGGCUCGGCCGUCCCUAGAGAUGCUUUCCUCAACCUGCUGAAGGACAACAAAGUGCUGCAGCAGCUGGCGCUCCAGAACUGCUCUGACUGGCUGACGGAUGGGGAGCUGCUCCCAGUCAUCAUGCAGAACCACCACCUGCACCACAUUCAGCUGAAGGGCUGUGCCCAGCUCAGCUGCCACGCACUGAUGGUCAUCUCGCUGAACUGCCCCAACCUGCGGCGGCUCUCCCUGGCUCACUGUGAGUGGGUGGACAGCCUGUCCUUGCGCAGCCUGGCCGACCACUGCAAGGCGCUGGAAGCUGUGGAUCUGACGGCCUGCCGGCAGCUGAAGGAUGAGGCCAUCUGCUACCUGGUGCAGAAGUGCAGCAGGCUCAAGUCUCUCUCUCUAGCUGUCAAUGCCAACGUAGGCGAUGUGGCAGUAGAGGAGACUGCCAAGUGCUGUCCUGAGCUGGAACACCUGGACCUCACGGGGUGUCUGCGAGUCAAGAAUGACUCUAUAAGGGUUCUGGCUGAGUACUGUCCCAAGCUGCGCUCGCUGAAGGUGAAGCAUUGCCACAAUGUGGCUGAGUCCAGCCUGAGCGUUCUCCGAAACCGUGGAGUGGAGCUGGAUGUGGAGCCUCUGCCGCAGACGGCUCUUGUUCUCCUGCAGGACAUGGCUGGCUUUGCCCCUUUCAUUAACCUCCAGAUCUAGAACUGCUGCUGCUAUUGGGGGGUGGGGGAGGGGGCAACAUGUCACUGAGAUCCCUGGUGGACGCUGGAACUGGUUCCUGCUGAGAUGUGCAGAGGGAGAAGUCGAUCCUGUUGGUGAGGCUGGUCCAAAAGGGGCUCACUCUUCUCUCUGGGGCUAUUUAACAGCCACUGCACAUUUGUGAGUGAGCUCUGUGUGUGCCUCCUGGAGAAGAAACUCCCUCUGAAGCAGAGUGAAGACAGUGAGGAACUUGCAGGAACACCAUAGUGCUGAACAGACCAGCUAAUACACAGGAUUUAUUAUUUGUCAUAUUUUAAAUUUCGAAGUUGCAGUUCUCCAAAGAGCAGGAGAAUGUUUGAGGACCGUGGACUGUCACCUUCUGAGGAACUUGUGUAGGACACGCCAGCAUUGCUGUUGAGAACAAUCCACACUAGCUGGAGUAGUAAGGAGAAAAACUGGCAGCCCUCAUUCUGGCAGGAAUAAAUUUUCUGGGCACUGUGGCUCAAAUGCUUGAACUCCUUCCCCUGCAAGGUUCUCUAUGAUCACAAAGGGAUGACACUCCUAAGCACAGGGACCUCUGGCUACAUCAGAAGGAAGCACAGCAACAGCAUUUCCUAGAAGGGCAUGGACAGAAUGAUUGAACUGCAGAGCAGUAAAACACCAGUACUGAAGAAACAGCAAGCAGAGCUUGAGGUAAGGAGCUGGGGGGAGGUUUACUAAGUGCUGCAAUGCUUGCAGUGUGGGUCAUGCUGAAUGGAGCUGCAGAACCAGGACUGCUGUGCUAAUGACUCACUGUGGUGUAGCUCAGUAUAUAGAACACCUCAUUGAAGGUGGGAUGGAUGUCUUCAAAACUGACACUCAGAUAUGACCACUAAAUGCUGCAUCACAGCUAGGGAGAUAAACGGUAACCAAGUUCAACUGUGAAUGGAGCUGGGGGAAGUGGGGUGGAGCCUGGCUAGCUCCUGGCAUCCUUACUGCACUCUAGGAUCUCCAAGAGCGCUAAGACAAGCUUUCUUCUGCCUUGCUGCCUCAGGACUGGAAAGGAUGAGUCAGAGUGACAACUUGUGCUCUUCUGGCAGCACAUAACUUUCCACUUGAACACAGUCUUGCUCAGGUCAUACAAUGGGGUGAUCGCAGGCUUCAACAAUGCUGUGUCACAGCCUAUGCUUGUGGUUCCCCUUGGAGCCAGAAAAUGCCUUAGUUGGUACCAGUCGGCUAGUGCUAGGGAUUCUGUCACCCUGCUCCACUGUGAGAUGUACAUACCUGGGCCCCAGCUCCGUCUGUAGGUGUGCACAGCCUUUCAUCUUUGCAGACUCCAGCUCCAGGCUCCUGGCCUUUGGUCAGGUCUUCAGAGGGCACUUCUGUUCUGCUUUCCACAGCUUUUUGGCUAGGUUUUUCUUAAAGAUACAGUGAUAUCUACUGAGGAUCAACCCCACUAAGUACAGAGCUCUGUGCUUUCUGUUAGUAGGAGGCUGUUAGUGCACUAUCAGCUGAAGUGAAUCUUCUCUUAAAUGAAAAGACAGUGGAAAGCACUACUGUUCUUGUUGCCUUUGGUGAGUAUAGCUGCAGCACUACUCAUACUGACCUGCAGGAAGGCAGUGCUAACAUGCUGGAGUGUCUGAGCUCUGCAUUCCCAUGCUUUUCACAAGCAGUCCUACUCUAGCAUUCUCAGGCCUCUUACAUUUUGGCUGUGGGUAUUUAUGGUAUUGUUAUUAAGUGUCUAAGAAUUUCCUGAUGUUUGCUCUAACUUUGAACCAAGAUGUUAUUCUGAUUUUAAAUCUAGCAAAACGCAUUGGUGGCUCCCAAGCUGUGUAUAACCCAGCACGCCUUGUGGUCAGGUUACUCUGAUGCAUCUCUUUUUAUAGGCUCUUUCUGUGUCACUAUAAGAAUUAUUUCACCUCUUCUCUAACCUAUCUGAAAGGCUACAUCAGGAUUCUUAAAGGGUAGGAUGCAAGACACUAGAGCAGAGCAGUAAAUUUAGUCAGUUUCAAGGUGAAACUCACCUUUGUUACGUGCUUCACCAAGCCUUUCUGAGAGAGAGAACAUCAUUUCACAAACAUUCCCACUGCAAGAGACAGAUGCUGAAUAAUUAGGGUGAGGAAUUAAAGCACUAGCCUAUCCCACUUGACUUACUCUUUAUAAAGAUAUGAGGCUUGAUGGGAAGCCCAGUUACCAAAACUAGCAUUCCAGAUAGCCAAGUAUUUAAGCUGUUAACUAUCCUGGGAUUAGGAUUUGUGCGUUCAGACAAAGCCUAGCUUAAUCAUAAUGGUACAGGUUCAGUACUAAUACAUCACAAUCUGGAUAUAAACAAGAAUUCAUGGUGCUGAUGUGGUUGGGCCAGGCCCUCAGUGCGUGGCAUGCACAUACAAAACAGUAGCAUUAACACACCUCUGAAUUUCUGCAAAGCCAGGGAUAUAUGCCUCCAUCAUUUCCACAAAGGUGUCCAUGUCGAAGGUUUCCUCAGAGGACUCUGGUGAACCCAGCUCUUCCAGGACACCCGUAAUGUAAGAGAAGAAAACUUCAUCCAUCCCACUGGAGAAAGAGAACAUGGCACAAGUAAGCAGCAUCAACAGGACCACAUUCUUUCUCUCCACCUCUGUUUGCCUCUGUUGCAUCUAAUAGAACAGCAGAAGUGCCUAUAUGGGAAGCAUUCAUGGAUAAAUCCAGAAAACUUUGCUUGGUUCACCUUCCUAGGCAGGAUUGAAUGAAAGCCACUGCAUCUGUCUAGAUACUGUGCCCUUGAGGAUAUGUCAGCUGAGCUACCCAAAAUAUUCCAAGUGCUCAAAUCCUGAUUUUUGUGUUGUCUGGUGUUCUAGGUGAUGUCAUUAUGUUUUAUCAAGUUACAGCUUCCAUGUGAUGCAGUGUUCUCUGCUGACCCACUUGCAUCACUGCUGCCAGUGGCUACAUAACCGGCUGCCUCAAGGCAGCUGUAUCUCUACAUGUAGGCAGAGUUCAAAACAGGGAGAGCUGUGACAUAGCAGUGUACUGCUUAGAAAGCCUUCUGGGAUUGUUGUAGAUGAAAGGAAUUCCAUAUUCUAACAUGUACUACUUGGCAGGAAAUUAAUCAUCUUGGUCACCAAAGAAAUGACAUUGCUAGUCUGUAAUGCUGAAACAUAGUUCAAGGAUUUACAUCAACACCUGUACAAAUUAUCUGCAUCCUGGAUAUGACUUAAAGAAGAGCAAGACAAAAUGCAGGAAAACUGCAAAUGUUGCACUUGAAAUUUAGCAUAAUGUAUAGAGGGACAAUUAAUGCAGAGUUCAAGCUAAAACAAUACUCAACAUACCUGAGGUCUGCAGCAGGGAUGUGGGACUGGAUGAAGCACGUCAGUGUCUCUCUAAUGAUUCUUUCAAGUUCCAUGUCUACUUAAAUCUUUUCUCUAAAAAAGAGGAGGAAAAGAAAAUUCCAUGUAAUUUCAUGUAGUAGAUAUCAACAAGAUCAAAAGGCAAGUGUGCUCUUCCCAUCAGAACAAUUCAUAAAUUCCUCCAAUGCGGCUUCUCACCCCUGGGUAACAGCAGUCAGAAACUGGCAGAAAGCAGUGUGAGUAUCCACAGGGAGUACCAGCCCAAAGAAGCCCAGCCUCCUAGGCAUCUCCUGCUUGUGUUAAUGCUAACAAUAUGCAGCUGCACUGUACAUUUAAAAUGUCCCUUUCGGGAAGUAAAGAUAGAAAUGCAGAUAUGCCCAGCUGCAGGACCUCAGAGACACCUCCUGAGCAGGAAUGCUGUGCUGUCUGGCAGGGAAGUGGUGGCUUGUGGGUUUGUGUGCUCACUGCAGGAAGGGGUGGACCUUUCAUCUGCUAAGUAUUCAGUGCUGCUUGGACUCAAAAAUGAGUGGGAAGAAGGGUAAUGUCUCUUGGAGAAAGAAAAACCUUGCCUGGAUUUUACAGGAAAAUACCAAGCAGGGCACAAGCAACUAGUCUGCCAGCCAAAAUAUCAAAGGUCUCCAGGUCAGGCAUGGAGUUGCAGUGGAAUCCUGUCCAAACAGGAGUGUUGUUGUGCUUGGUAAAUGAGCCAUUCUACAGGCAAUGCAGCUGCAACAAAGGUCACUUGAUAACCCAAAGCUCUCAGGGGAGUUCUAAGAAUCACAGAGCUCCCACAGAAAUAAAGGCAGAGGGAGCUGCCCACAGUCCUCCUUCAGCUGUGAGACGUGGGCCUGGACUGGAUCUGGUGGGGAAAAGCUGUUCCUUAGCCACUCCUUCGCAUUUGGGUCUAAAAAACUGCUGGGUGAACAAACUCCUGGUGUAAGCACAGAGUUCUUCCUGAAGAGGAAAACUAGACCUGCAUAUAUAGAAACUGUCAUUAGCCAAAGUUUCCAGGCUACAGAGGUCAUCUGUAAACCCUUCUUUACAUUUGACAAUCACAUCAGGCAACGAACACUGAGUUAUCAAUGCUGUAUCACUAUACAACCAACAUACACAUAUUAAAACUCAGCAUGUGCAUAGGAAAAGCCAGGGAAGGCAUCACUGGAAAAGACUGUUUGCUGUUUUAAAAAAAAGCUACGUCAUAGAAGUACUUGCUCUCCUGUAGCUUCAGUUAGAGAACUCCCAUUUAACAAAUGGGAGUUAAAGAAAACAAAUGUUUUCAGGUAGGAGCUCUUCAUACAAAGAGCCCAAGUGAGCUCUUGUGCGCUGCUUUUGUCUUUCAUCCCUGCUGUAAUCCUUUGCUCGCUUCUCUCAGUGUUGCAGAUGUGACAGCCUGCAAGUGUGGCAGUUGGCUGUAAAAACUACCAUGUGUUAAAGCAUCUUCCUGUUGCUCAUUUCUUGUUUUUGUAUUUUGCAUGUUCUCUAGUGCUGUGACAGAAAUUAGGUGAUCUUCGUUAUCUUUGCAGCGUACCUGGAAAAAAAUGUGAGCUUUCUUCCAUCCUUCUCAGACAUUAAAAAACCAGUGGUAAGAUUCUGAAUUUCAGUGAUGGCAAGAAUACUGUCCUAUGCGUGUGGGUUUUUUUCCAAAUUGGAAGCUGAAUCUGCAAGUGCUGGCAAUGACCAAGUCUCCUAAACUUAUACUUGAACAAGUCCAAGCAAAGUAACCUUCCUUUCACAGAAAUAAGAGGUGGAAGAUCAACAUAUAGCAAUAAAAAUGCUUUCUCUACUAUCA